AGAGUCAGGCGCCGGGAGAAGGCAGCCGGGCUGUGUUUCUCAGCCUUCUGUGCUUUUAGGUGGAACCUGUGACAAAGUAUUGGCCAUGGCAAUGUGGACAGGGUUGCAGGACACCACGUCAGGGUCUGGCUCCUAGAAAACGUCCUUCAUGCCCUGCAGGUGCAUAAAGGCAGCAGCCUUUUGUUACGAGCUCCUCGGCAAUGGGACAAUUCCCCUGUCUGCCCUGCAGGCCAUCCAAUCCUCACCCAGGACCCGGCUGCUGGGAAAAUGGAACCCUGAGGAGCAGCCCCCCCCCUUGGCUUCUCCUUGCUUUGCCACAUGAUGUACUCUGGACGUCCCUUGUCACAGUCAGCACUGAGCCUUGACCAAGUCAGCUGAAUGGAGCCCCCACACAAAGUGCAAUAUGGGAGGAAGCAAGGAGGUCACAAGAGACGCCGCUGGAGGUCCACGGGGCCCUGUGCCCUCCCCUCGCUGUGCUGUGGUAAGAAGGAAGCCCUGAGCCAUAGUGCCACAGCUCAGAGAGGAGCAGGGCUCAGAGCUGGCUCACAGACGGACUGCGCUGAAUCGGGAAGAGAGUCUCCUGCUGGUGACAGCAGCCUGGGACCAAUGCAGCCCCCUCCCACCCCUGGGCCUCCCCAGGCUUUGGCAGGGCCUGUGGCAGUGGCUGCCCAGGCCAGCCUAGUCCUGUGGUCACUCCUGAACAUUCAGCAGGGAAGGCUGGGGCCCCGUGCCAGGUCCCUGAGACCUGCCCGACCCCCUCAGCCCUCUGCUUUCUGAUGCCCCUCAAAACUGGGAGACCCCUGCAAGAUAUUAUGGAAAGAUCCCUGAGUUAAAGAGACCUGGAAGCUGAUGCCACAUCCACUUCUGUCUUGCUGUGUGACUGCAGGGAAAUCACUGCCCUUCUCUGGGACUUAGAUGCCUUGUAAGGUGCAGUUAGAACAGUAAGAGGCUCAUGGCAAAUGCUCCAUGAAUAUUACCCAUUAUUGUAAUGUUAAAUGGGACAUUUGGACUAACUCAUGUCCAAGCCUUUUCCUGUCUUACAGCUGAACAAGCAAAACUUCUGUUUUAACAAAGCUGAUAUAAUAACCAUCGUGGACAUUGUUUAUUAAGCAUGUUUGGGCCAGACGCUACGGUCACAUCAUUUCAUUUACUUCUCAUAAAAAGCCUUGCGAGGUAGAUCAUAUUAGCUCCUACAUGGAAGACAACACAGUUGGGGCCCAGAGAGGUGAAGUAACUUGCCCAAGGUCACACAGUUAAUAAACAACAGGACUUUACUUGAAGCCCAAAGCUUUUCAGUGGUACCACUGACGCUACCUCCGUGAAAAGAUAGAAGCCCUGUACGUAAGGUGACCACACAACUUAUAGUCCACACCAAAACACUUCAUAGGGCGACCAACUGUCCUGGUUUGCCCAGAACUGAGGGAUUUCUCAGGACAAGGGACUUUCAGUGACAAAACCGGCACAGCCCUGGGCAGACAGGGACGGCUGGUCACUGUACUUCUGAGGGAAAUAGAACACUGUCAUUAUUCAGUUUGAGACACCUUCUGAUUCCCCUGGUGGUUUCUCCUUUGACCAAUAGAUUAUUUAAGAUUGUGUUGUUUAAUUUCCAAAGAUUUGGGGAUUUUCUAGAUACCUUGUUUUUGUUUCCAGUGUAAUUUCAUUUUGGUUGGGGAACAUACUUUAUGCGAUUUUAACCUUUUGAAAUUUGCUGAGAUCUGUUUUGUGCUCCAGAACAUGGUCUAUCUUGGUGAACGUUCCGUUUGCAUGAGGGAAGAAUGUGUUCUGCUGUUGCUGGGAGCAGAGGUCUAUAAAUGUCAGCCAGGCUGAGCGAAUUGACAGUGUCGUUCAGACCUCCCAUAUCCUUUGUCUACCAAAGAUCCUUCGCCCUGCCAAUUACUGAGCGCAAAGUAGUAAGGUUUCCUACUGUGAGAGUAGAUUUUUCUGCUUCUCCCUUUAGUGCUGUUAAUUUUUGCUUCUUAUAUUUUGAAGCUCUGCUGCUAGGUGCAUGCACAUUUAGGAAUGUUAUGUCCUCUGAUGAAUUGGCCUUUUUGUCAUUAUGAAAGGUCCCUCUUUAUCUCUGGCAAUAGUCUUUAUCUUGAAGUCUGGAUUAAAUAAUUCAUAAGCUUCUUUCCAACUCUAAAAGAGGAAAGGAAAAGAAAGUAUGUAUGUCCCUGCAACUGCCCUGACUCAUUUAAAGUAAAAAAUAUUCAUGGGUUUGUUUUUUUUUUUUUCCCCCACUCCCUCUCUCGGAGCAUGACAGAUCUCAAUGUUAAGAGCAUCCUUUUAUACAAAAACAAAUGGUCUGUUUGGUUAAAACCUCCCCAGAUGUGAUUCCAACUCAGCUGCAGGAGAAGCAGCUGUUUCUGUCAGCUGAGUUAACGAGGCACUUUGUCUUGGGAAGAAGCAGCAAUUUAUCAGCUCUCUCAGCCCCAAGUCGCCAGGCUCCCGGAUUGACUGCACUGGCCAGGCAGAUGCUAAUGCUGCCCUUUGGAGACCUCCAGAACACAGGUGACCUUCUCCGGUAACAGCCUCCUCCUCUGUGGCUUGUCUGUCAUUGUGUCCACACAGGAUAUGCUUGGAGAAGGUGGGGCCUUGGGAUUCUUGAGCCUGUGGAAUCAAGUCAUUGAUUUAUUGAGGUGGACUAGGAUGCCAGAACUUACCGAGGGGUCAUGCGGGUGUGAGGAGCCAAAGGCAUGUGUGUGGGUUACAUUAUUAACACAUGGUUUAGAAGACAGGGAGCACGUGCUCCCCAAGACCACAGCAGGGGUGCUGGUUGCUUCCACCUCCUUUCAUCAUUGAACCCCCACGUUCAGUGUGGUGAGAAGCAUCUAGUAGAUGUUUAAUACGUAUUUUGGAUGAUUCAAUGAAUAGGCGAACAAAAUUGAAGUCAGAUGUAC